UAGGGAAUUUUCGGCAAUGGACGCAAGUCUGACCGAGCAACGCCGUGAGAGUGAAGAAGGUUUUCGGUUCGUAAAACUCUGUUGUUAGAGAAGAACAAGGAUGAGAGUAGAAUGUUCAUCCCUUGACGGUAUCUAACCAGAAAGCCACGGCUAACUACGUGCCAGCAGCCGCGGUAAUACGUAGGUGGCAAGCGUUCUCCGGAUUUAUUUGGCGUGAAGCGAGCGCAGGCGGUUUCUUAAGUCUGAUGUGAAAGCCCCCGGCUCAACCGGGGAGGGUCAUUGGAAACUGGGAAACUUUAGUGCAGAAGAGGAGAGUGGAAUUCCAUGUGUGGCGGUGACAUGCGUGGAUAUAUGGAGGAGCACCAGUGGGGAAGGCGGCUCUCUGGCCUGUAACUGACGCUGAGGCUCGAAAGCGUGGGGAGCAAACAGG
rnacentral:rRNA from 1 species